GAAAAGCUGUGUGUUAAGUCUCUUGCUAAGGGCCUUCCAUCCUUGUCUCUGAAUGCAGACUGUCCGGGCCUCUCUCAGAUGCUGCCUGCUGUCUGCUGCCUGCUGCCGAGAGGGGAGAGCUUUGCAGACAAAAGUGCCUGCAUGUUCCUCUGGUUUCCAGAGUGUUCCACGCAAGGGCCUUGGCCAAUGCCAGCUACACAUAACAAAACCGGAUAGAAACAAUGAAAACCUUGCUGCCGAUUUUUCACUCAGAGACUUGAUAAUUUAUGGCAAAUGGGAAUGAAGCUAGGUCACCUCCAGACAGACAUUAGAAUGGAAAGGCUGUGCUACAGGAGGAGGAGGAUGGCUGCACUGCUGCCCAGGGCAUGCUUUGACCCAGUCCUCGGAGAAUCCGUCCCUGCUAAAAGCAGCCACAUCUGUGCCUAAGGAAGAGCUCUACAGCACUCGCAGGCGGAAGGAAGCCUCCAGCCCCUGUCUGGUAGGCCCCCAAAGGCGCCCCCAUCGCAUGCCCCAGGCUCAGAAGGUGGACCUCAGAAUCUGAGCAUAGCGGGUGCCCGGGGCAUUCUGGGCCUCCCCAGGGGGUUCGGGGGGGCCCCCGGGGUUGGAAAGAGCCAAAAACCCCCCAAAUUCCCCCAGCAAAAUCCCCCCCCCCCGGGGCGCCCAGGGGGGGGUUUACCCCUUUUUUCCCCCCCCCCCCCCCCUCCGCACUUCACAGCGGGGACGAGGAGUCGGCCGCAAGCUCCCAGCAGCGUGCAGGAGGCUGGAUUUCGCCUCCAUCAUCAUCGCCGACGUUAAGAGCUCCCGAGAGGAUCGUAAAGAGUAGCUAGGAGGACACCCCGAUUUUAAAGAUGAAGC
rnacentral:lncRNA from 12 species